rnacentral:rRNA from 1 species
UACGAAGGGGGCUAGCGUUGCUCGGAAUCACUGGGCGUAAAGCGUGCGUAGGCGGCUCGCUAAGUCGGUUGUGAAAUCCCUGGGCUUAACCUGGGAACUGCAGUCGAUACUGGCGGACUAGAGUACGGUAGAGGGUGGCGGAACUCCGGGUGUAGCGGUGAAAUGCGUAGAUAUCCGGAAGAACACCGAUGGCGAAGGCAACCACCUGGGCCUGUACUGACGCUGAGGUACGAAAGCGUGGGGAGCAAACAGG